GGAAUGGAGCCGGCUGUCUAUGGACUGAGACUGAAACUGGUCUGGGAAGGAUGACGCUCCCAGUGUCUUAACUGAGCGAGGCCACGUGACUGGCUUUGACCAAUGAAAUAUGAACAGAAGCAAUUUCAGGCAGAGCAUUUUAAAGCCUCUGUGCAAUUCUCUACUCUUUCUUCACAUCCUGCAGUCACUAUGAAAAAAGAUGUGGACAUGGAAUUGUCAUAAGAUAGAAGCAGAGAUCACACCUGGAGGACAAUUACCCUGGACAGCACUCCCAUGCAAAGCUUUCUCUUUGUAAGCAAGAAAUAAACUUUUUUGUUAUGUUCAGCUACAAA